GGCCCCGUAUCCCAAAGGCAGAGGAAGCGCACUCAAAAUGCGUUCAGUCUCGGUUCGAAUCCGAGGGGGGCUA
rnacentral:tRNA from 1 species